AACGCGAAGAACCUUACCAGCCCUUGACAUCCCGGUCGCGGGAACGAGAGAUCGAUCCCUUCAGUUCGGCUGGACCGGAGACAGGUGCUGCAUGGCUGUCGUCAGCUCGUGUCGUGAGAUGUUGGGUUAAGUCCCGCAACGAGCGCAACCCUCGCCCUUAGUUGCCAUCAUUCAGUUGGGCUCUCUAAGGGGACUGCCGGUGAUAAGCCGCGAGGAAGGUGGGGAUGACGUCAAGUCCUCAUGGCCCUUACGGGCUGGGCUACACACGUGCUACAAUGGCGGUGACAGUGGGAUGCAAUGGGGUAACCCUGCGCAAAUCUCAAAAAGCCGUCUCAGUUCGGAUUGUGCUCUGCAACUCGAGCACAUGAAGUUGGAAUCGCUAGUAAUCGCAGAUCAGCACGCUGCGGUGAAUACGUUCCCGGGCCUUGUA
rnacentral:rRNA from 1 species